GAGUUUCCAAGAAAAGCUAGCAUACGAUUGACCUACGAGUUCUUUGACCACAGAUAAGUUUUGAUUUUUCAAUGUCUUUAUUCAAAGUAAUUUAUAUCUCCCACUUGAAAUAUAAGAUAAGUUUGAAAAAGAAAAUGGAAAAUUUUCAGGUUUGUUGCAGCAAAAUUGAGAACAUGUUCAGCAAAUUUGCUCAUACCUUGUCUGAUAAGCUUACGCUAAGGGAGCUUUGGCACAUGACUGAGUCAGCAGCAAUGCAUUUGAUUCUUGUGGCUGGAUUGCAAGAAAAUUGUAGGAUGCAGAAGGCUAUACGACGUUGCUGUGAUGGAAGCUAUUCGAAUGAGUUCAUAGAGGUGCUGCUAGUAGAUGAGAUAAAAAAUUAUUGAUGAACAAUAUUAUCACUUCAAUCUGUCGCUCUCUCUCUUGUGCAUGAAGUAUUUUAAGUCAGUAAUAUAAAGCUCGGGGCAGUUACAACCACCUAGAUCGUACUCCCCAACUCCCGAAGGCAUGAUUUAUCCAUAUCAGUUGUACAUGAAUGGUUAUACAUCGACCAUGCACGUUUGUUCAAAUAUAUGAUUUUACUUUUUUCUUGAUCAUUCAUGUUAUAUAAACGAUUCCAAACA